GUCUAUGGCCAUGCUACUCUGAACAAGCCUGAUUCUGUCUGAUCUCGGAAGCUAAGCAGGAUCAGGCUUGGUUAGUACUUGGAUAGGAAACCACCUAGGAAGACCAGGUGCUGUAGGCA
rnacentral:rRNA from 1 species